rnacentral:rRNA from 1 species
GCACAAGCGGUGGAGCAUGUGGUUAAUUCGACGCAACGCGCAGAACCUUACUGGGUUUGACAUGCAGGUGAUCGCCGUUGAAAGACGGUUUCCGUCUUCGGAGGCACCUGCACAGGUGCUGCAUGGCUGUCGUCAGCUCGUGUCGUGAGAUGUUGGGUUAAGUCCCGCAACGAGCGCAACCCUUAUCCCUAGUUGCCAUCAGGUAAAGCUGGGAACUCUGGGGAGACUGCCGGUGAUAAACCGGAGGAAGGCGGGGAUGACGUCAAGUCCUCAUGGCCCUUACAUCCCGGGCUACACACGUGCUACAAUGGCAGGUACAGAGGGCUGCGAAGCCGCGAGGUGGAGCGAAUCCCAGAAAACCUGUCUCAGUCCGGAUUGAAGUCUGCAACUCGACUUCAUGAAGGCGGAAUCGCUAGUAACCGCGAAUCAGCAGGUCGCGGUGAAUACGUUCCCGGGCCUU